UGCCAAUGAUGCAUUUAUCUGCACGUAUUAUCAGAGAAAAUUAUGAUGAUAUAUGCUAUAUUGUCACUACCUCUGAGGCA
rnacentral:snoRNA from 1 species